rnacentral:rRNA from 1 species
UACGGAGGGUGCAAGCGUUAUCCGGAUUCACUGGGCUUAAAGGGUGCGUAGGUGGGUCUGUAAGUCAGUGGUGAAAUCUUCGAGCUUAACUCGGAAACUGCCAUUGAUACUAUAGAUCUUGAAUUUUCUGGAGGUAAGCGGAAUAUGUCAUGUAGCGGUGAAAUGCUUAGAUAUGACAUAGAACACCAAUUGCGAAGGCAGCUUACUACGGGAACAUUGACACUGAGGCACGAAAGCGUGGGGAUCAAACAGG